AUGCUUAUCAGCAUCCCCAACCGUCCACCUGCUCUGCUUCUGCUGCCUUUAAAUAUUUGGCACCUCCUUCGAUCCCUCCCAUCUCACAACACAGUGCAUAAUUGUUGUCUGCUGCUUAGUUUGUCCCAUACACAGGUGGAAGCUCUUAUCUACCUGUGUAUUAAGACUUAUCAGGUCGACGACCAAGGUUACUGCACCGAGACCAUGGCAGGCAGCUCACCGAAGGUUAGUGAGAUCCGGUGUGGGCAGCGUGCGGAAGGCUCCGCGGCAAUGCUGGCUAUCGGAACAGCAAAUCCGGCGAACAAGGUGUCCCAAGAAGAGUACCCUGACUAUUAUUUCCGCGUUACCAAGAGCGAGCACCUUACUGACCAUAAAGACACAUUCAAGAUAAUAUGUGGUCUAACGGGCACGGAGAAUCGUUUCUUCUACCACACGGAUGAACUGCUCAACUCCCACCCUGUCUUGCUGGACAACACGUCACCGUCCCGUGAGGCUCGGCAUGAUAUCGUGGCCAAGGCUGCUCCAGAGCUUGCGGCAGCAGCAGCAAAGAAGGCCAUCGCAAAGUGGGGCCGUCCGGCCAGUGACAUCACCCACCUUAUCGUCAGCACCAACUCUGACGCUGGCGCCCCAAGCGCUGACGUACGCUUGGUUUCACUCCUUGGCCUUCGCGCCGAUGUGUGUCGUACCAUGCUCCAUCUUAACGGCUGCUUCGCCGGCUGCUCCGCCUUGCGCCUAGCCAAGGACCUUGCUGAGAAUAACUGUGGGGCACGCGUCCUCGUAGCUUGCGUGGAGCUCGCCAUUUCUGGCUUCUGCAGCCCCGGCGAAGGGGACUGCUUAGACACCCUCAUCACUCAUGCGUUGUUUGGUGAUGGGGCAGGCGCGGUAAUCGUCGGCGCCGACCCCAUGCACCCCAUCGAGAAUCCUCUGUUUGAGAUGGUGUCCGUCUCUCAGACCCUCGUGCCGAGCACUGAGAAUGCGCUCACCUUGAACUUGGGGAGCAAUGGCACUCAUGGGAAAGUUUACACCAAACUGCCCACACUGGUAGCAGACACCAUGGAACCUUGUCUUCUGGAAGCGUUUGGUCCACUUGAGAUGGACUUCCAAUGGAAUGACCUCUUCUGGGCAGUGCACCCUGGCAGCCGUGGGAUCUUGGACCAACUUGACAAGACACUCCAGUUGGAGCCCACGAAGCUAGCGGCGAGCAGAACUGUCGUACAGAAGUUUGGGAACAUGUUUAGCGCCACCGUGAUCUUCGUGCUUGAUGAGCUACAGCGUCGAAUGGAGGAGGAAGGAGAGCAAGCUGAGUGGGGGGCCAUGGUGGGAUUUGGACCAGGCUUCACUAUCGAGACCAUGGUGCUCCAUGCAACCGGCGCUCUCAAGAAAAAAUAG
rnacentral:rRNA from 1 species